UUGUAAUUUGCAGAGGAUGCUUAGGGUGCGGUCCCCGUCUAAGUACCCUGGAAUGGGUCGUCAUAGAGGGUGAGAAUCCCGUCUGGGACGGGUGGCCGUGUCCGUGUGAAGCUCCUUCGACGAGUCGAGUUGUUUGGGAAUGCAGCUCUAAAUGGGUGGUAAAUUUCAUCUAAAGCUAAAUAUUGGCCGGAGACCGAUAGCGCACAAGUAGAGUGAUCGAAAGAUGAAAAGCACUUUGAAAAGAGAGUUAAACAGCACGUGAAAUUGUUGAAAGGGAAGCGCUUGCGACCAGACUCGCCCGCGGGGGUUCAGCCGGUACUCGUACCGGUGUACUCCCCCGUGGGCGGGCCAGCGUCGGUUUGGGCGGCCGGUCAAAGGCCUCCGGAAUGUAUCGCCCUUCGGGGCGUCUUAUAGCCGGGGGUGCAAUGCGGCCAGCCUGGACCGAGGAAC
rnacentral:rRNA from 1 species